CACGUAGGAGGCGAGCGUUGUCCGGAAUCAUUGGGCGUAAAGAGCGCGCAGGCGGCCCGGCAAGUCGGGUGUGAAAUCCCGGGGCUCAACCCCGGGACUGCAUUCGAUACUGCCGGGCUAGAGGUAGGUAGGGGAGAUCGGAAUUCCUGGUGUAGCGGUGAAAUGACGCGAGAUAUCAGGAGGAACACCGGUGGCGAAGGCGGAUCUCUGGGCCGAUACUGACGCUGAGGAGCGAAAGCGUGGGGAGCAAACAGG
rnacentral:rRNA from 1 species